CACACACUCUCUCUCUCUCUCUCUCACUCACACUCUCACUCUCUCUAUCGACCGAACCGAGCAACGAACAGAGCAACCAUUCACCUACAGACCUCCCCCUCCUCAGGCCACCUCAAGACAUCGGACCACCUCCAGUAGCUUCGCCUAGACCUUGCGCAGCCGCCGGUGGCUUCCUUGUGCCGCAACAUGGACGGUACCGACGGCGGAGGACCCGGCUUCGUUUGAGCCGAUUUCGAGUCAAUCUCGAUAUCUCGAGCUACAAGUCACCAAAACUUCCGAUCCUUAGCUCUAUGAACUCGCCUCAACCUUCUGAUCAUCAUACUUGAAGGAUCACACCUGGAGUGACCGGUUUCACGUUCGUCGGAGCUCGACCGGUUUUCGAUCCGAAAACAAAACCUUUCGAUCGAGAUAUCUCAAGAUACAGACCAUCAUUUCUUGUGAUUCUUGCACUGCUUAACUCAUAUUUAAGUUCUGAACAACUUUCAUGAAGGGAUCGAAGCGAUUUGUUGAAUUUUUUACGUCGGAAUUCAAGCUCGCCGGAUUCUGGAAUUUUUCCGUCCACCGAAGCUUUCGAUCGUGAUAUCUCGAGCUGUAGAGCUUCUUUUUGAGUGAUUAUUGAACCUCUGAGUUCGCUUUGAUGUUUUUAACAACUCUCCAGAAGGAAUCGAGGCCAAAAGAUGAAGUUUUUACGUGGAAAAAUUGGUUGGACGGUUUCUGCAAAUUUCGCCGGUUUCUGGAAAUUUUCCGGCCAUCACGACUGUUUUAGGUGAUCGACAGGAUGAUUUGGCGGAUGAUUCGUAAAAUUGUGGUUGUGCUGCUAAGAAGACGCAGCUGGAUUGGAGGUACACCUUGCAAACCGAAGACCCGUAAGAGCUUACAGGCUUUAAGCACCAUAUGAAGCUCAGACCUAUUGGCUGUCUGCCGGAA